UACGGGGGGGGCAAGCGUUGUUCGGAAUUACUGGGCGUAAAGGGCGCGUAGGCGGCCAUCUAAGUCAGACGUGAAAUCCCCCGGCUUAACCUGGGAACUGCGUCUGAUACUGGACGGCUGGAGUUUGGGAGAGGGAUGUAGAAUUCCAGGUGUAGCGGUGAAAUGCGUAGAUAUCUGGAGGAAUACCGGUGGCGAAGGCGGCAUCCUGGACCAAUACUGACGCUGAGGCGCGAAAGCUAGGGGAGCAAACGGG
rnacentral:rRNA from 1 species